UCCUUGGAGGACUAGUGGUUAGGCCUCUGCAGUCCCACCGCUGCAGCCCGGGUUCGAUUCCUGGCCAGGAAA
rnacentral:tRNA from 1 species